rnacentral:sRNA from 1 species
GCAACUGUAAAGGAGAAGAAGAGAAAAAACAAGUUAUAUACUUUUGACAGGCAAGCGCCUGGCAUAGACGGCUCCAUCCUGAGAGGGAGGACUAGGAGGAUAUUGAGGAAAGAUCAGCCCAGAGACCAUGUGGGAAACAUUAAGAUGAGCAGUUCCAUGUUCCACAUCUGGGCCCAGAAUGCCAGCCCCAGAGAACUCUGUAGCCCCAUUAGGUGCCUCUGCUGCUUGCAUUUGCCCGGCCUCUCCCUCAGGCUAGCUCUGCUCCAUCCGCCAUGAACUGAAGCAUUAUUCUAUCCUGCUGCUGGGACGGUCUGAAAUCUCUGAAACUGUGGGCAGAAACAAAUAACUCUUCCCUUGAAGUUAUGCGAGCUAUUUAGCCACAAUGAUGAAAAGUCUAACCAGAAACACUCUAAUGACCUAUUUAACUUUAAUUACCCCUCUAAAGAUCUUAACUAGACAGGCAUGGUGGCACAAAAAAACCCCCAACAACUUGGUAGCCUGAGGCGAGAACACUGUGAGUGACAGGCUAGCCAUGUCUAAAUAGCAGGUUCCAGAACAGCCUGGGCUGUAAGAGCUUAUCUCAACCAAUAAACAAACCAACUAAAAGCAUCCUGACUUAAAGUCAGACACAUGGGGGGAGUACCAAAGUAAGAACAUCAAUCUCUGAAUUCCGGGUGACAUAGGUCAUCCGGUCGCACUGUACUAGUUAAUACUUUUUUUAUUCCUGAAUGAAAUAAUGAGUUUCUAUUUAAAAAGCUAUUAAGCAUAUAUAUGACAGGCAAAUAAAACCUAGGGUGAAAUCUCAGCCUGCCUGACCUUGUUUUACUCGGUGACACAGUCCACCCACAGGCUUUGGACAUCAGACAAUUGUGGUAAAUCACCGCUGGUGCCUUGGUCUUGUCCAUGUUCAGCCAAAGCAGUAAAACCUCCAUGAUCCCACGGAAAUGAAGAUAAGCCACCCAGCCACUGGGCUGCUCUGGAUACUUCUUGUCUGAGUCUUCUGUCUCCUCUGAUUCUGCAAAAACUCUGAGCCCUUUUGCUUUCCAAAAGACCUACCCCAUAGUGAUCUUUUGCUUCUCCUUACUGAAUCGGAGUCCCGUGAAUUCUCCAAACCAAUCAUCACCCGAGCAAAGCUACACUGGUCUCUUGCUGCUGGGUCCCUACCCACCGCCUCUUUUGAGACAUGCAACUGGUUAAGUAGCCCAAACUGGCCUUACACACCAGAUUCUUGUGCCUCAGCUACUCCCCUGAGACUAUUGGCAAAUGCCAACAUGUCCAAUUCCUGGUAUGACUUUAUUCUAGAUACUAGGUGGGCAAAGAAGAGAGUCUCCUUGAAGCUUAACAUUUGGAAUUCUCGUUUCCAUCCACUAUAGCACAGGAGAUGGGAGGGCUGCUGGACUCCAUGAGUCACGUGGACUCACCUUUAACUUCCACCCAAGGAGAUGCAUCAAAAGGAAGAAAGGACCCAUUGCUGGAGAAUCAUCUUGGUUUUGCUUCUCUCUCUGAAUUAGUCUAUCUUUCUUUCUAGUACUUCACUACCUGCAGCAACUACCUUUUCCCAGACAGGAAGUUAGGCUGCUAUGAAGGAACUCUUCAUAUGGCACAUCUGGGCGUAUGCUCUACGCCGCUGCUCACCUCAGGGCUCGACUAUGCAGAGGUUACAGACAGUAUCCUGUGAAAAGUUGGGAGGCUCACCCCAGAAAGGAAUGUUGGCAAAAGAAAUUAUUUACUCAGAAGUUGACAUCUAGGCUGGUUGUUGGGACUUUCCACACCAUUUGAAAGAAUCUUGGCAUCCCAAAUAUGUGGCGAGAGCUGGACAGGGUGAAAAGCCGCCUCAUGUCACUGUUGUUUGGAGAAAUGAAAUUUGCUUUGCUUAGAAACAGCACAGAAAGGUCACUCCUUGAGUGGGAGUUGGGGGGAGUUUCCUGCCGAUGAAAGGAUCUAGAGCCCAUGGUCUAUACUGCGAGACGAAGACAAGGCGUCGCUCAACAACAGUGGCAAGGACUGUGAGUUCUUUUCUCAUUGCAAAACGUAUGUGAGUUCAUGGUGAAAUACAUGGGAACUAAGGAAGAGCCUGUUUUGAGAUAAACAGUUGCCUGUAACUACCCACACGGAAAGGAACAAGCCUGCUAUCACGAGGAACCUCUUUUCUGCUUCUAAGAUCCCUCCCAAGUGCCUCUCAGACUAUUGAAAUCUGUUUGACCUCCAGAUCUUGGACUCGAAGGAUUGGAGGACGCUCACCGACACCAGAGAAGUCCAUCCUAACUCGCC